CGAUGGGGCGCUAAUUGGGGUCGCACACGCCCAGACUUCCUCUCGUUCGGCAGUUUGGAAAGGGGGGAUGUCAGCGUUAUCUCCAACUGCCCGCGUGUGAUAUACCCUGUUGUCCUAUGUUACAGUUUGGAAGGGGAAUAAAUGCUGUCAGAUCCAUUCCACGUC